CCUACGGGUGGCUGCAGUGGGGAAUAUUGGACAAUGGGGGCAACCCUGAUCCAGCCAUGCCGCGUGUGUGAAGAAGGCCUUCGGGUUGUAAAGCACUUUAAGCAGGGAGGAAGGCUCGUACGCUAAUAACGUGCGGGAGUGACGUUACCUGCAGAAUAAGCACCGGCAAACUCCGUGCCAGCAGCCGCGGUAAUACGGAGGGUGCGAGCGUUAAUCGGAAUUACUGGGCGUAAAGCGCACGUAGGCGGUUUGUUAAGUCGGAUGUGAAAUCCCCGGGCUCAACCUGGGUGCUGCAUUCGAUACUGGCAGACUUGAAUACGGUAGAGGGGGGUGGAAUUCCAGGUGUAGCGGUGAAAUGCGUAGAGAUCUGGAGGAACACCAGUGGCGAAGGCGGCCCCCUGGACCGAUAUUGACGCUGAGGUGCGAAAGCGUGGGGAGCAAACAGGAUUAGAUACCCUUGUAGUC
rnacentral:rRNA from 1 species